GAUGAACGCUGGCGGCGUGCCUAAUACAUGCAAGUCGAGCGAACGGACGAGAAGCUUGCUUCUCUGAUGUUAGCGGCGGACGGGUGAGUAACACGUGGAUAACCUACCUAUAAGACUGGGAUAACUUCGGGAAACCGGAGCUAAUACCGGAUAAUAUUUUGAACCGCAUGGUUCAAAAGUGAAAGACGGUCUUGCUGUCACUUAUAGAUGGAUCCGCGCUGCAUUAGCUAGUUGGUAAGGUAACGGCUUACCAAGGCAACGAUGCAUAGCCGACCUGAGAGGGUGAUCGGCCACACUGGAACUGAGACACGGUCCAGACUCCUACGGGAGGCAGCAGUAGGGAAUCUUCCGCAAUGGGCGAAAGCCUGACGGAGCAACGCCGCGUGAGCGAUGAAGGUCUUCUGAUCGUAAAACUCUGUUAUUAGGGAAGAACAUAUGUGUAAGUAACUGUGCACAUCUUGACGGUACCUAAUCAGAAAGCCACGGCUAACUACGUG
rnacentral:rRNA from 1 species